rnacentral:rRNA from 1 species
GAUGAACGCUGGCGGCGUGCCUAAUACAUGCAAGUCGAGCGAACAGACGAGGAGCUUGCUCCUCUGACGUUAGCGGCGGACGGGUGAGUAACACGUGGAUAACCUACCUAUAAGACUGGGAUAACUUCGGGAAACCGGAGCUAAUACCGGAUAAUAUAUUGAACCGCAUGGUUCAAUAGUGAAAGACGGUUUUGCUGUCACUUAUAGAUGGAUCCGCGCCGCAUUAGCUAGUUGGUAAGGUAACGGCUUACCAAGGCGACGAUGCGUAGCCGACCUGAGAGGGUGAUCGGCCACACUGGAACUGAGACACGGUCCAGACUCCUACGGGAGGCAGCAGUAGGGAAUCUUCCGCAAUGGGCGAAAGCCUGACGGAGCAACGCCGCGUGAGUGAUGAAGGUCUUCGGAUCGUAAAACUCUGUUAUUAGGGAAGAACAAAUGUGUAAGUAACUAUGCCCGUCUUGACGGUACCUAAUCAGAAAGCCCCGGCUAACUACGUG